rnacentral:rRNA from 1 species
AUUGAACGCUGGCGGCAGGCCUAACACAUGCAAGUCGAACGGACCCUUCGGGAUUAGUGGCGGACGGGGGAGUAACGCGUGGGAACAUACCCAAAGGUACGGAAUAGCCUCGGGAAACGGGGGGUAAUACCGAAGGUGCUCGAAAGAGGAAAGAUUUAUCGCCUUUGGAUUGGCCCGCGUUGGAUUAGGUAGUCGGGGGGGUAAUGGCCUACCAAGCCGACGAUCCAUAGCUGGUUUGAGAGGAUGAUCAGCCACACUGGGACUGAGAAACGGCCCAGACUCCUACGGGAGGCAGCAGUGGGGAAUCUUAGACAAUGGGGGAAACCCUGAUCUAGCCAUGCCGCGUGAUCGAUGAAGGCCUUAGGGUUGUAAAGAUCUUUCAGGUGGGAAGAUAAUGACUGUACCACCAGAAGAAGCCCCGGCUAACUCCGUGCCAGCCGCCGCAGUAA